GAGAAUGCUAUCUGGAUGAACUGAAUAAGAGAGGUGAUGAUGGUUCUAACUUUUCAGAAGAGCGACUGAUUAUGUACACUCUAGAUCUUCACUUAGCUGGGACAGACACCACCUCCAACACCCUGCUUACUGGUUUCCUCUACCUUAUGACCUACCCACACAUACAAGAGCGUUGUCAGCAGGAGAUGGACGAGGUGUCGGAAGGGAAGCAUCCGGCCAGUUUUGACGACAGACACAACAUGCCUUGCAUGCAGGUUAUA